UCGGGAAUAUUGCCCAAUGGGCGAAAGCCUGACGACGCAACGCCGCGUGGAGGACGAAGAUCUUCGGGUCGUAAACUCCUUUCGAUCGGGAAGAAUGGCUUCCGGGGUAACAGCCCGGAGGAAUGACGGUACCGAGAGAACAAGCCCCGGCUAACACUGUGCCAGCAGCCGCGGUAAUACAGGGGGGGCAAGCGUUGUUCGGAAUUACUGGGCGUAAAGGGCUCGUAGGCGGCCAACUAAGUCCGACGUGAAAUCCCCAAGCUUAACUUGGGAACUGCGUCGGAUACUGGAUGGCUUGAAUUCGGGAGAGGGAUGCAGAAUUCCAGGUGUAGCGGUGAAAUGCGUAGAUAUCUGGAGGAAUACCGGUGGCGAAGGCGGCAUCCUGGACCGACAUUGACGCUGAGGAGCGAAAGCUAGGGGAGCAAA
rnacentral:rRNA from 1 species